UACGUAGGGUGCGAGCGUUAAUCGGAAUUACUGGGCGUAAAGAGCGUGUAGGCGGCCACACAGGUCUGCUGUGAAAACUCGAGGCUCAACCUCGAGCUGUCGGUGGAAACCGUGUGGCUAGAGUCCGGAAGAGGAGAGUGGAAUUCCCGGUGUAGCGGUGAAAUGCGCAGAUAUCGGGAAGAACACCCGUGGCGAAGGCGGCUCUCUGGGACGGUACUGACGCUGAGACGCGAAAGCGUGGGGAGCGAACAGG
rnacentral:rRNA from 1 species